UAAAUUACAAAAAGCGCUAUAUAUAUAUAUUAAAUUUUGAUCUGAAAUCGAGUUCUUUUGAAACUUGAAAGCAGAAAAAUGCAAUUUAUGUGGAUCGAUUGAAUGUACAACAGAAAUAAUACAACGCAAACUUACGACGACUUUUAUGAAGUGGAAUACACACUGCGUUUCGCUUGCAAUUCCUCGUAAAGAGUAUCACCAGUCGUGACACGCGUGCAACACGAAUAUAUAUGAACCAGGAGCGAUACGUCGAACGAUUCGUGGAGCACGAAUGGCGACUCCUCACGCCUAACUCGGGACUGUAAGUCAAUAUUUACGAGACAUUUAAUGGCGAAAGGGUAAGGCGCGCGAUCCAUAAGCGAGCUAUCCGCAGGACACGCUUGAGCAAAAUCAAAGUAAACGGGAGCGAAAGGGCAUCCCUCGAAGAAAUAGAUUACAAAUUUACGACGUAACAAGUUCGCCCGGGUACACUAAGUGGUUAAGCAACGCGACGAGUUGACAGAUUUUUGGAUGCAGUCUGAAUUAAUUUUAUAUUACAUUGCAUAAAAAAUCAUAUACUUGAUAUGGUGUAAUAUAAAGAAGAGCCACGCGCUUUCAAGCGGGAGCUUUAAUUCGUACGGCUAGAAUUGCGUAAGAACAUCACAUGCACGAUGGCGACUUCGCAAGGUUGAAAUGCGUGGAAACGUCUUUAAAGAGGCACGCUCACUCCGUAGUUAGGAAGAUACUCAGCUGGAUCAGACUAAUCAAGUUGUGCCUAACAAGGGACGAAAUUCGCAAAAAGGAAAAAUAUCGAUAAAAUGUACAUAAAAUGUAGGUCAACUAAAAUUGUAUACAUCUGCACCCUGAAGAAAGAUU